AGAGGCAGGCGAUCUCAGUGAGUUCGAGGCCAGCCUGGUCUACAGCAUGAGUUCAAGGACAGCCAGAACUGUUCACACAGAGAAACCCUAUCUC
rnacentral:miRNA from 1 species